rfam:Haemonchus placei strain MHpl1 genome assembly, scaffold: HPLM_scaffold0000012
GGCCCAAAUUUGAAGAAGAGUAGAUUAGUAAUGACAGUUAACCCUACUAAUCUACUGUACUUCAAAUUUGGGCCC